AUGUCUCCAAGAAUCCCCUUUUCCCGUCCGUGGGGUCCCCCCUCCCUCUCCAAGGACCCCGCCACCGCCCCAGGCCCCGACGCAUCCCCGCUGGGCUCCGGCAUCCGCCGCGCCGAGGGCCGCAUCCGGGACCCUCACCCAAGAGCGGGGCAACCCCUGCGGCUCUUUGGGGCUCCCUCACCCCCAUCCCCACAUCCUGCCCCCCUCCCUCCCUCCCUGCCCUCUUCCCCAAGUAGCGGGGGCCGGUUCCUGCACCCUCACCCCCCACACACAUCUCCAGCUCCACCGCCCUGCUCCUGGGUGCCCCCUCCCCAAAACCCCAACCCCAACCCCAAGGGGCCCGAUCCGGUGCCGGUUUCCCCGGAGCCUUACCGGGGGCUGUUUGGGGUUGGGGUUGGGGCUGCGGCUCCCGCCCGGCGCUGCUCCUCUCCAUGGCGUGGCGGGGAGGCGCAGAGGGUUGGCCGAGCCGUGCUGAGCCGUGCCGCGCCGCCUCGCUCCCCCCAGCACGGUGGGGGAGGACGCUCCCAGCUCCCCGCCCCGGUCCCGGGCCUCCGGUGGGGUUGGGGAACCGGGCAGCCCAGGGGGGAUUCGCCCACCGACCCCGCUCUGUGCCCCCCAGGCAGAUCCCUCAGCCCGCCUGCAUCCUUGGUUCUUUUCUCCCAAAUUCUGGGGUUCGCUCCCACCGGUGUUUGGCGAUGCUCCGGCCACCCGCGGGACCCUCUGCACCCCAAAACGUCGUGGCCAGCACCACCUGGGUCAGCUCUCCGGUCACCCCAAAAGGACACGGGGUUCCCAUCGCAGAGCCACAGCUCUUUGUGGGGUCCCCCCUGCUGUUCCCCCCCCCCCCCCCCCCCCCCGCCUCCCCCCCCCCCCCCGGGUUUGGGGGCUUCAGCCCCAUGUAUCCCACCCCUACCCCAAUAUGGGGCAGGUCACGGCGGGACCCCCCCCUUCCCGAGAGGGUCAGAGCCCCCCAGCUCGGCCCCUGCCCCAUGCAGCAGCCGGCAGAGCUCGUGCACCCCAAAAAUUGGGCACUGGGGAUCCCCAAGAUAG
rnacentral:lncRNA from 1 species